rnacentral:rRNA from 1 species
UAGGGAAUCUUCCGCAAUGGACGAAAGUCUGACGGAGCAACGCCGCGUGAGUGAAGAAGGAUUUCGGUUCGUAAAACUCUGUUGUUAGGGAAGAAAAAAUGUAUAGUAACUAUAUACAAAAGAGACGGUACCUAACCAGAAAGCCACGGCUAACUACGUGCCAGCAGCCGCGGUAAUACGUAGGUGGCAAGCGUUGUCCGGAAUUAUUGGGCGUAAAGCGCGCGCAGGUGGUUUAGAAAGUCUGAUGUGAAAGCCCACGGCGCAACCGUGGAGGGUCAUUGGAAACUAAUAAACUUGAGUGCAGGAGAGAAAAGUGGAAUUCCGAGUGUAGCGGUGAAAUGCGUAGAGAUUAGGAGGAACACCGGUGGCGAAAGCGGCUUUUUGGCCUGCAACUGACACUGAGGCGCGAAAGCGUGGGGAGCAAACAGG